UACAGGGGGGGCAAGCGUUGUUCGGAAUUACUGGGCGUAAAGGGCUCGUAGGCGGCCAACUAAGUCCGACGUGAAAUCCCAAAGCUUAACUUUGGAACUGCGUCGGAUAUUGGAUGGCUUGAAUUCGGGAGAGGGAUGCAGAAUUCCAGGUGUAGCGGUGAAAUGCGUAGAUAUCUGGAGGAAUACCGGUGGCGAAGGCGGCAUCCUGGACCGACAUUGACGCUGAGGAGCGAAAGCUAGGGGAGCAAACGGG
rnacentral:rRNA from 1 species